UGCCCUGACGUCCUUGGAGGGGGAUUCUGGA
rnacentral:piRNA from 1 species